rnacentral:rRNA from 1 species
AGAGUUAAAUAGUACGUGAAAUUGUUGAAAGGGAAACGAUUGAAGUCAGUCGUGCCGUUGAGAAAUCAACUUAACAAAUUUUAGUUUUUGGAUCGAGAUAGGGUCAAACCAUCUCGGUUUUUGAAUUGAGAUUUGUUGGGUGUACUUUCUUUUUGGGCAGGUCAGCGUCGAUUUUGGGGGUUGUAAAAUGACUGGGGGAAUGUAGCUCCUUUCGGGGAGUGUUAUAGACCCUGGAGGAUGCAGCCCGCGGGAUCGAGGAUUGCAGCAAAUGCUUUCGCUUGUCGCCUAUCCGUUAAACGUUGCCCUGCUGGUGACAAUAUUCUUGACACUUUGUGGGAUUUGGCGGUUAUUGGUUAGUGCGUUCUAAAAUUUGCUAAGGAUGCUGACGUAAUGGCUUUAAACGACC